rfam:Triticum aestivum genome assembly, contig: Triticum_aestivum_CS42_TGACv1_scaffold_129839_2BL
AUGAUACUCCCUCCGUCCGGAAAUACUUGUCAUCAAAAUGAAUAAAAGGGGAUGUACCUAGAUUUAUUUUAGUUCUAGAUGCAUCCCUUUUUAUCCAUUUUGAUGACAAGUAUUUUUUGGACAAAGGGAGUAUAAA